rnacentral:rRNA from 1 species
AUUGAACGCUGGCGGCAGGCCUAACACAUGCAAGUCGAACCAGUGGCGGACGUGUGAGUAAUGUCUGGGAAACUGCCUGAUGGAGGGGGAUAACUACUGGAAACGGUAUCUAAUACCGCAUACCAUCGGAUGUCCCCAGAUGUGAUUAGCUAGUAUGUGGGGUAACGGCUCACCUAGCCGACGGUCCCUCGCUGUUCUGAGAGGAUGACCAGCCGAAGUGGAACUGAGACAAGGUCCAGACUCCUACGGGAGGCAGCAGGGGGGAAUAUUGCACAAUGGGCGCAAGCCUGAUGCAGCCAUGCCGCGGGUAUGAAGAAGGCCUUCGGGUUGUAAAGUACUUUCAGCGGGGAGGCGUUGCCCGCAGAAGAAGCACCGGCUAACUCCGUGCCAGCAGCCGCGGUAAUUC